rnacentral:rRNA from 1 species
CACGUAGGGGACGAGCGUUGUCCGGAUUCAUUGGGCGUAAAGCGCGCGUAGGCGGCCCGGAAAGUCGGAUGUGAAAACCUGGGGCUCAACCCCAGGCGUGCACCCGAUACUCCCGGGCUGGAGGCAGGUAGGGGAGAUCGGAAUUCCUGGUGUAGCGGUGAAAUGCGCAGAUAUCAGGAAGAACACCGGUGGCGAAAGCGCUCUGCUGGACCUUAACUGACACUGAGGGACGAAAGCUAGGGGAGCGAAUGGG